UACAGAGGAUGCAAGCGUUAUCCGGAAUGAUUGGGCGUAAAGCGUCUGUAGGUGGCUUUUUAAGUCCGCCGUCAAAUCCCAGGGCUCAACUCUGGACAGGCGGUGGAAACUACCAAGCUGGAGUACGGUAGGGGCAGAGGGAAUUUCCGGUGGAGCGGUGAAAUGCGUAGAGAUCGGAAGGAACACCGGUGGCGAAAGCGGCGCGCUGGAUCCCUACUGACGCUGAGGCACGAAAGCCAGGGGAGCAAACGGG
rnacentral:rRNA from 1 species